CGGGGUGCUGCAGCAGUGGGGAAUUUUGCGCAAUGGGGGAAACCCUGACGCAGCAAUACCGCGUGAGUGAAGAAGGCCUUUGGGUCGUAAAGCUCUUUUCUUGGGGAAGAUAGUGACGGUACCCAAGGAAUAAGCACCGGCUAACUCCGUGCCAGCAGCCGCGGUAAUACGGAGGGUGCAAGCGUUGUUCGGAUUUACUGGGCGUAAAGGGCACGUAGGCGGCACAGCAAGUUAAGGGUGAAAUCCCGGGGCUCAACUCCGGAACUGCUCUUAAAACUGCUGAGCUAGGGAUAGUCAGAGGCGGGUGGAAUUCCAGGUGUAGAGGUGAAAUUCGUAGAUAUCUGGAGGAACACCGGUGGCGAAGGCGGCCCGCUGGGGCUAUUCUGACGCUAAGGUGCGAAAGCGUGGGGAGCAAACGGGAUUAGAUACCCUUGUAGUC
rnacentral:rRNA from 1 species